GCCGGUUUGCCUUAGCCUCCCGCCCUCCAACCCAAUGGUAAGCCAGUGUUCGGGGAUAGGUUGAGAUAAGCCCAUCAGGGAAUUACUAUCAGGGGAUUUCGACCCGCCACCACCUCAGCCGAGAACCAUGUCGUGUAUGCCAAAUUGGUUUUCACCUUGGUCUUGAAAGUUUUGUCUAGGGUGAGUAUAUAUGAUCUCCAGGUCAAGAG